rnacentral:tRNA from 1 species
GGAAAGAUGCCGGAGUGGUCGAACGGGACGGUCUCGAAAACCGUUGUACCUGUUUCGGGUACCGAGGGUUCGAAUCCCUCUCUUUCCG